UAAAGUAUAAAAGAACACAUAGAAAUCCAAUAAGAAUAAAAACACCACAAUCAACAAAACAAUAAAGAGGAAAAUGCCCAAACAACUAAAGACUUGCUUCAAAGGAUUCUAGAUCCUAUACUACAAAAAUCACCAUCAACAAAUCAUAAUCCAUCAAUAGAUCGAUAAAACUACAAAUUAGUAUUUACGUCAAAACUAAGAUAAACAUUCGAUAUGCUAUUGGUUAAGCUAAAUGAUAAGGUUCUGAAAUUAGUUUGAAUAAGUGUACGAGUU
rnacentral:lncRNA from 1 species